GGUAGAUAUGUAUAGGAGACAGGGAUACUGGAGUGAUGGAGGUAGAUAUGUAUAGGGGUAAGGGAUACUGUAGUGAUGGAGGUAGAUAUGUAUAGGGGUAAGGGGACAGGAAUACUGGAGUGAUGGAGGUAGAUAUGUAUAGGGGAAGGUGACAGGAAUACUGGAGUGAUGGGGGUAGAUAUGUAUAGGAGACAGGGAUACUGGAGUGAUGGAGGUAGAUAUGUAUAGGGGACAGGGAUGCUGGACUGAUGGAGGUAGAUAUGUAUAGGGGUAAGGUGACAGGGAUGCUGGAGUGAUGGAGGUAGAUAUGUAUAGGGGAAGGUGACAGGAAUACUGGAGUGAUGGGGGUAGAUAUGUAUAGG
ensembl:lncRNA